rnacentral:rRNA from 1 species
ACUCAAAGGAAUUGACGGGGACCUGCACAAGUGGUGGAACAUGCGGUUUAAUUCGAUGUUACGCGAAAAACCUUACCAACUCUUGACAUAGUGGUCGCGGGGCUCGGAAACGAGUCUCUUCAGUUCGGCUGGACCACAUACAGGUGUUGCAUGGCUGUCGUCAGCUCGUGUUGUGAGAUGUUAGGUUAAGUCCUGCAACGAGCGCAACCCCUAUCCUUAUUUGCCAGCGGGUAAUGCCGGGAACUAUAAGGAAACCGCCAGUUAUAAACUGGAGGAAGGUGGGGAUGAAGUCAGGUCAGCAUGGCCCUUAAGGGUUGGGCUACACGCGUGUUACAAUGGUGGUGACAAAGGGAAGCGAAAGCGCGAGCUGGAGCAAAUCUCAAAAAAUCCACCUCAGUUCGGAUUGCACCCUGCAACUCGGGUGCAUGAAGUUGGAAUCACUAGUAAUCGUAGAUCAGCACGCUACGGUGAAUACGUUCACAGGUCUUGUACACACCGCCCGU